CCAGGACUUGACCCCUGAUUAAGAGCUUUAAAUAUUUAUAUCUCCUGCUCUGUAAAUGGAACCCUUUAUCACACACAGGAGGCUCCUGCAGGGUCUAACAAGCUAUUAAUAGAGCAAGAGAUAAAGGAAGUGUCAACAUUAGAUGUCUCUUUAUAGGAAGUGUUUAGGAAGGAUGUGUAUGUCACACAGGAAGGUGGGCCUAGGGCAGCAUAAACAAAGUGAUUUAACUUCUAAAUGGCAAAGAAUUAAGCAGUGAGAUUAUAGAGGCAUGACCUAUGUGGCAAAACUAGCCACUGGAGACUAUUAAUGUAUAAGUAUGUUUGUAUUCUUGCUAAAGCUGUAGAGACAAGUGUAGGAUUACAUUUCAGGCGAAUGAGGGCAUUUGUAUGCUGGCGGUAUGAAAACCCCAGAAUUCAUACUGUAGUUUCACGAAGAGUGAGUUUCAACACUGUUCGUGAAACAAAUAACUUACCGAAUGGACGACCACACACAGGACGUCGUGUGGCGCCCAUUAACCGAUUGCAACAAAGGUGGCCUAGGUGGCCGUCGUUCGACUACAGAUCAUGCAGCGGUCGGCCAUCUUGGUUCCUUUGUUAGCCCAGCGGGGUUUGGUCGUCGAGCGCCUGGAACCAAAAUCGGCUAUUCGACGGCGCGAACACCGCUGGACUUCCAAGCCGUUCGGGAGCCCUGGCCAUUCGGUAGGUUGUUUCCCUGAUGUCAAUCGGUACUUUGAGCAGAACUUGAAUUUAAUGUUUAUUUUGUGCGGCAUUCGGUUAGUUAGACUGGGAUCUGAGCGGUAUUCUCACGAACUGUGCGCUCGGACCCAAGCUAUCUACCGAACGUCCAUUCGUUUAAAUGAAGGGAAUAUUAUGGGAGAUAUGCAUUUUAAUGUAAAAUGUAAAUUCUGCUGCACGGAGGGAUAAUCCACUUAACGGUAUAUUCUCGUGGGAGUAUCCCUCUCGUGCAGCAGUGCAUGUUGGGAAAAAUGUAUGUAUUGUUCAGUUCCCCAUGUAGUCCCCUACUGUGCCACCCCUGGAAAGUCAGUAGGGAAACCCCUUGUAUGGGGAAUCCCAUAAAUACAGUGCCCUGUGAAUAAAACCUCAGUUGACCUCCAAGCUAUGUGUCGUCUAGUUCUUGGAAGGAAGGGAUUGUAACUACGCUACCUGGAUUUUACCUGCUUUGUGCCUGCUUGAUUCAGUUUACCAGCGGAGAUACCAGGGAUAAUACUACUACUCCGCUACAACCUAUACACCAAAACUGCUUCCUUAAGAUAAAGUUCUUCUCGUACUAUAGUGUCCUUUUAAGUUAUGAUGGAGCAUAGAGUUUAAAUUCUAGGUUUUGUUUUUAUUCAGAACUUGGACAACUGCCUCCAUCUACAAGGGGAGAAAUAAACAAAAGUUUAAACUAGAAACCUUUGUUUGUAAUUUUCUUUCUAAUCUGUCUAUUUAAGCUAAAGUAAAAGCAUGUUUUAAUGGUUUCUACUACAUUAGACGUGCAAUUUGCAUAAUUGUUUAACAAAAGCAUGAACAAUGUCUAGAAUAUUAAUAUUUGAGGUGGCUGAUAUAUUUUCCUGAUUAAAGAAAUGCAAUAUAAUUUCAAAACGAGAUUUCAUUUAAAAUGACAUUUUAGCAUCCUAAGUAAGGCUGUGACUCUCUUCAUUAUGAGAUCCCAAACUUACCUGACAUUAACUUCCAUCAACUAAUAAGACAAAUAAAUCCUGUAAGAUAAACGGGCUAUUGAUGAUGUAUUCUAGUGCCUGUUUCAACAGAGGAGUCAGUGUAUAGAUGUACAAUUUUAUACAGUUCUCUGACAGAAUCUGCACAUAUUUUGUACUAUCCAUAUAUAUUAAUAUAGUUCUGUUAUAAAUAUAGAGUACAAGAAAAUAAACCCAACAUAGAAUAAGCAAGUACAAACCACACAUUCCCAUGUCAAAGAUAUCGAUAAUUAAAUAAUCUAUCAAAAUACUCAGCCUGGGGUAUAAUUAAGCAAUAUAAGUGAGAAAAUGACCAAGAAACGAAGAAAUAAAUACUUGGUAGGGUGCAGUGGCAUAACUACCAUGGUCGCUGGGUGUCGCAGCGGUGACCAGGCCUGUCACGUCAGGGGGCCCUGACGCUGCUGCUAGUGUGGGCUGCCGGCAUACCUUCAAGGUUGGUGCACAGCCAUACCGGCUGGGGCCCACGGUCAUAGGCUAACCAGCAGGAGGGGAGUGAUGUGCUGUUCCCCUCCUGCUGCGUGUAGUGCGGCCGAGCGGUCUGAUAGGAAGUGCUCACUGAGAGGUACUGUGACCACAGACAACAGACACGGGGAGGGGAAGGGAGAAAUGGAGUAGCUGCAAGGGGGGGGAGGGGAGGAGGAAAGAGGAACAGAAAAGUUGAGGGGCUGCAAGGUAAGGAAGCGAAAAGGUGAGAGAAACAGAGGGGUGCAGGGGAAGGGAGGUGGAGAGAAAUGGAGGGACUGCAAGGGAAGGGGCAGAGAGAAAUGGAGGAAAGGGGAAGGGAUAGAGAAAAAUUGUGGGGCUGCAGGGGAAGACAGAGUAGGGGAGAGAAAAACGGAGGCUGCAGUGGAAGGAAGGGGGUAGAGAGACACAUAGAGGGGCGAGAAGGACAGAUGGAGGUGCCUGGGGGUAAUUAGACAAAUGGGGGGAUGAGACACAUGGAGAGGAUAGGGGGAGUAAAUGAGACACUUGGUGGGGAAUGAGACUCAUGGGGGGGGGGAAAUGAGCCAAGAGCAGAGGGGGGAGAAAUACACAUGAAGGUGCCUGGGGGAAGUGAGACACAUGGAGGGGCUUGGGGAAGGGAAUGAUACACAUUCGAGGGCUGGGGGGUACUGAGACCCUUGGGGGGAGGAGACACAUAUAGGGCUGGGUGGGAGGAAAUACGAUACUUGGGGUGAUGAGGCACAUGGAGGGGCUGGGGGGAGGGAAUUAGACACAUGGAAAAAUGAGACACAUGGAGGGGCUGGAUUUGAGACACAUUGAGAGGCUGGGGCCACUCCAGGUUUCUAGUUACUCCUCUGGUAAGGAGUCUAAUUAGACUGUAUGUAAUAUAGCCAGUUUAUAUGAAUAAAAUACCUUUUAAUCCACGCCUGAACUAAUCAAUUAAUCCAGGAUUUACCUGUGGGGUCUAACACAAUAAAUAAGACUCUACUGGGGGGGGGGGAGCAGCAUUUUAAUUGAUUAAUUCUGCUGUGGAUGAAAAGGAAUUGAUUUAGCUGAAC